AACGGCCGCGGUAUCCUAACCGUGCAAAGGUAGCAUAAUCAUUUGUCUUUUAAUUGAAGACCUGUAUGAAUGGCGCAACGAGGGCUUUACUGUCUCACUCUCUCCGUCAAUAAAAUUGAUCUUCUUGUGCAGAAGCAAGAAUAAUAACGUAAGACGAAAAGACCCUAUGGAGCUUUAGAAUAAAGAAACAGCUAAAAAUAACCCAAAAUCCUACUAGCCCCGUCUCUUUUAUUCUUCGGUUGGGGCGACCUUGGAGAAAAACAAAACCUCCAUGAAUAUAUAAAAUAUCACCAAACUUGAAACAACAACUCUAGCUCACAGAAUACCUGUUACUAAGAUCCGGAAAAAUUACCGAUUAACGAAACAAGUUACCCUAGGGAUAACAGCGCAAUCCCCUCUUAGAGCCCCUAUCGAAAAAGGGGUUUACGACCUCGAUGUUGGAUCAGGACAUCCUGAU
rnacentral:rRNA from 1 species